CGCGGUAAUACGUAGGUGGCAAGCGUUAUCCGGAAUUAUUGGGCGUAAAGCGCGCGUAGGCGGUUUUUUAAGUCUGAUGUGAAAGCCCACGGCUCAACCGUGGAGGGUCAUUGGAAACUGGAAAACUUGAGUGCAGAAGAGGAAAGUGGAAUUCCAUGUGUAGCGGUGAAAUGCGCAGAGAUAUGGAGGAACACCAGUGGCGAAGGCGACUUUCUGGUCUGUAACUGACGCUGAUGUGCGAAAGCGUGGGGAUCAAACAGGAUUAGAUACCCUGGUAGUCCACGCCGUAAACG
rnacentral:rRNA from 1 species